rnacentral:lncRNA from 1 species
AACUGCACAUGCCUGUCUUUCGUGGAUAAGAAGCAAGGCCUUGCUGAGGGUUUACUUGCGAAUGUUUAUUGUGAUGAGUCUUGUUGAGGCCUCUAGUUUCUGCUACACCAUCAAUAUUGAACUCUUGUGGAGACUCCUCUCAGAUAUUUGGUUGUAGCCCAGAGUCAUGGAGACCCUGCAGGUAUGGUUCCGCGGGACUGACCACUUCGCAUUCUCCAGCGGCUCUCAAAUGUUAGGGCGAGCCAACUCCAAGGAUCUGGGCCUGGGUGGGUGGUAGCUGAGUUGGUGUAGUGGCAGCCGAGUGGAGUUGUGGGGCAGCUCAGCACGGCCCACGGACAUCCGUGUAGCCUUCCAUGGUAACGUGAGCCACAGACAUCACCACCGCCUCUGUCUGGAUCUGGACCACUGACCCACUCACAGCCCUCAGCAGGACUUUAAGCCUCAUCGUGGUUUCAGAUGGCUACACAAGCAUCAGCGUGGCCCCCCUGAGGCAGCAAAGCCUGAGGACAUCACCACAUCUUCAGUCAGAGGCACAGAGCUUACAUCCCCGUGGACCUCAGACUUCAUCCUGGCCUGGGGCAGCAGCAUGGACCACAGACACCAGCAUGGCCUCUGGUGACAUCAUGGACCAUGGUGGUCCUUCCAGGAGGUCCAAUCCAGACAUUGAACUUUUCCUCAUCUCAGGCCUCCAUCAUUGAACAGAGCCAGGAUGAUCCUGUGACCUGACUGGGUGGCAGGUUCGGGACCUGAGUCUGCAGCUGCACAAGCUCCAGGAUGCUGCACAGCACCCUGCACACCUUACUGCGCUAUGACGGCAGGUUAACCCUCUCUCUUCCCUAUCACCACGUCUCCAGUUCUGCCUCCCUCCAUAGAGCACACACCGCUGUUUUCUGUCUUUCCCAUCUCCCCAUCACAUAUGAUCAUCACAGUGGCCUUUUCCCCAAGGAAAUGAAUUUUUGUUUUGUUUUGUUUUGUUUUGUUUUGUUUUGUUUUGUUGGUUUUUCGAGACAGGGUUUCUCUUUAUAGCUCUGGCUGUCUUGGAGCUCACUUUGUAGACCAGGCUGGCCUCGAACUCAGAAAUCCGCCUGCCUCUGCCUCCCCAGUGCAGGGAUUAAAGGCGUGCGCCACCACACCUGGCAAGGAAAUGAAUUUUAUGGAGAAAUAAAUAAUAAAGAGAAUUCUGACGCUGGGCAGUGGUGGCACACACCUUUAAUCCCAGCAUAUGGGAGUCAGAGAGGCAGAAAGAUCUUUGAGUUUGAGGCCAGCCUAGUCUUUGGAGUGAGUUUGGGGACAG